rnacentral:rRNA from 1 species
CUACUCGGGUUUCUAAUCCUGUUUGCUCCCCACGCUUUCGCGCCUCAGCGUCAGUAACGGGCCAGUGUGUCGCCUUCGCCACUGGUGUUCUUCCGAAUAUCUACGAAUUUCACCUCUACACUCGGAGUUCCACACACCUCUCCCGUACUCAAGAUGACCAGUAUCGAAGGCAGUUCCGAGGUUGAGCCCCGGGCUUUCACCCCCGACUUAGUCAUCCGCCUACGCGCCCUUUACGCCCAGUAAUUCCGAGCAACGCUAGCCCCCUUCGUAUUACCGCGGCUGCUGGCAC